AUCCGGAAACAGUCUUUUUGAAUCCAUCGGCGAAGGGGCGCCAUUUUGGAAGACGGAUACAGGCGACAUAGGUUCGGUUAGUGUGUUCGAUAAAUCAAGCUUCCCGCCCUGGCCACCGCUUCCUGUCGACAGAUGGGAGGCCGACAACGCAAGAGUCAUGUUCCGCUUCUUGUGUGACGUCAUUUCCGUUGGGUCUUAAAUGGCACCAUCAUCAUUACCAACAAAGCUACUUGUUACAAGUUCAGCCCAAGUAACACUCACUCCAAUCUGACAGCCUCAUCGACUGCAUUCGUCCCGAAAUUGCAAACACCUUAACAAUAGCCAGCUUGUAAAAGCAAUGACCGCUCAUACAACAGUUUAAGAACUUCCGUCGUCGUCCAUGCAGGCCUCACCGCCAACACAAGUUAUCAUCGCCAGUAUCACAGCUGAGAUCAGACUCGCCGUUUACACAUUCCACAUUCUCCUCGGUCACACCGCCAGCACACGUUACCUUCUAUACUAUCACAAUGUGCUCCAAUCGCCUUUACAAUCACAAUUGCUUUCACAUCUGACGCCAUCUUAGCCGCGUCCACCGCAAGCACCAGCUGCCAUCUUCGCCACCACAGUUGCAUUGGCAUCCGCCGUCUUCUUAUCCGUCAAAGCCGCCUUUACAAGC